ACUGUGGUAUUCGGACCAGGAACCAAGCUCAUUGUUACUGACUCUACCCUCCCUCCGCCUGUCUUGACCAUCCUCCCUCCGUCCAGCGAUGAGUUGAAGUCCAGCAAAGUCACCCUGGUGUGUCUGGCCAGUCAGAUGGCCAUGGGCUACGCCGAUGUCAGCUGGACAGCGGGAGGGAAUCCGGUCACCGGCGGCAUCGCAACGAGUGGCCCGGUACCGCAAGCUGACAAGACGUUCCAGCUCAGCAGCUGUCUGACCGUUGACACGUCAGAAUGGAACCAGGACAAAGUGUUCUCAUGUAAAGUCACCGCGGGAUCCAAGUUCGCAGAGAAAGACAUCAAGAAGUCUGAAUGCAGCACUGAAUAGCCUGAGAUCCAUUGUAAUGUCAAUUUGAUAGUCUA